rnacentral:tRNA from 1 species
GGUGGGUUCGCCUAAUGGUAGGGAAGCUGUUUGCUAAACAGUCGGAGGUAUAAAAGCCUCUGGGGGUUCAAGUCCCUCACCCACCGCCA